GCAGGCGCAGUGGCGCGUGCCUAUGGUCCCAGCUACUCAGAAGGCUGAGAUGGGAGGAUCGCCUGAGUCCAGGAGGUCUGGGCUGUUGUGCGCUAUGCCGAUCGGGUGUCUGCACUAAGUUCGGCGUCAAUAUAGUGACCUUCAGGAGCUGGGGACCACCAGGUCGCCCAAGGAGGGAUAAACCAGCCCAGGUCAGAAAUAGCAGGUCAAAACUCCCGUGCUGAUCAGUAGUGGGAUCGCGCCUGUAAAUAGCCACUGCACUCCAGCCUGAGAAGCAAAGUGAGAUCCCAUCUCUA
ensembl:misc_RNA Metazoa_SRP Metazoan signal recognition particle RNA